CUGCUCCUCCUCCUCCUCCUCCUCCCCGCCAGGCUGAGGCGGCGAGGGGGUGGUGGCGGCGGUGGCGGCGGCAGCCCGGGGGGAGGGGGCGGAGCGCGCGGCCCGCUCCCUCUCUCCUCCCCCGGGAGGCGGAGGAGACCCUAUCUCGGGCCGCCGCGCCUAGGCCCGUGGACAGCCUGCGGCAGGGGCAUGGCGGCCCCGAGCAGCGGCGUGCCUGCGAGAGAUGAGGAAAGUCAGGAACAUGCGAAUGAGGCCAGAAAGUUUUGUGCUGAGAUUUGAAGAAGGAGAAGAAAAAGAAGGCGAAUGCUUACCCUGGGAGGGGACCGGCAGUGACAGAUUUGAGGAAUGAUACUGGAAACCAGGUUGCCACCACUUCAAGACCAAAACCACUGCCAUGCUGGGGAAAGGUGGAGUAAGGAAAAUCUUUGGGAUACAGUACACAAAGUGAGGAGCUGCCAGCGCUGGAAGGACGGGUCCCAGAAGAUUUCUCUGAUCUCCCGCCCUGCCUUCUCCUCACCUCUUUCCCUUGCUGUCUGAGCUGCAGACUUCGGCAGCCAUGUGGACUAAAGGAAAAGUGGGCCCUCCCUUCCUCUGGCAAGAGGGCAGCUGGCGGCUCAGCUCCAGGCUCACCGCUCUAGUGAAAAGUCCCAAGGUGGAAUUUCAUUGGACCAACUUGGGUCAUACUCCUUAUUCAGAACCAGUCAUGGUGGCCGGGGGGAAAGGAGUAUGCCGAUUGGCCGGGCCUUGGUCACACUCAGCCCUGGAGGUGAAGGGCAGGGUCAGAUCCAUCAACCUGAGCUACAUGAACUGCCACUAGAAGGUGGUGAUGAUUCUCUAAGAAAAAACAGUCACUGCUACCAGAAAAAUGGAACUGAAUGCUGAACAAACAAGAACUGAUGCACUAUCCCCUCAUCUCAACCUCACGGAUGAAUGUUUUGUAGGUUGGAAAUUCAAGCCUCACAUCUUCCACCAGAAGCCUGUCCAUAAAAAAGAUGACCAUUUACCAAGUGCUGGACAUUGUACACAGUGUUUUACAUGAAUCCUCUCAUUUAAUCCUUAUGGCUACCCUACCAGGCAGGUACGACUAACCCCCUUUCCUUAAUAAGGGCAUGGAGGCACAGGGAGGUUAAAUGGCACACUCUAAGCCCACAACUGUUAAAGGGUGAGUGAUUAUGGAGCUCUGGCCUAACUCCAGAGCCCAUGCUUGUUCUCCUUUUGUGUGUUUCCCAAACUUGCCCAUUUACAAGACUUCUGGAGUGGUUAUUAAAAUGAAAAUACAGGUUCCAGGCACCCACCCACAUCCCACUCUGAGAUUCUGAUUUGGUAAGUCUGGGAGUCUCUUUUGUUAACAAGUGCGCUCGGGGACUCUUAUGAUCAGACUCACAGGUAAAGCCUGCAUGUGGCUGCUGCCACUGCCAGCCCCUCUUCCUGCCUCUCCCUUUCCCGCAGAGGCUCUGCGCAGACCGCUUUAGCUGCUGGUCAUGUUCAGUCCACUCUCUAGUGCGGUGGUCUCCAAAGAUGGGGUGCAUAAGAGGUUCCACUGGUGUAUGGGAGGCAAUAUUUUUCCUUUUUCUUCAAUUUCUAUUUAAUUUUUUCUAAAAAGAAAAAGAAAUCCAGCUUUACUAAAAUUUGAUAUCCAAAUUGGCACUGGCACUCUCCCUCCAUCAUGAGCCCUGGGCUACCCAUGCUACCUGAGGGGGCCUAAGAGGAGGGUGAGGGUUCCACGAUGCAGAGGGAGAAUGGCGCCCCACAUUUGUUUGCUUCCCAGCGAUUGAGACCUUAUUGUACUAAGUGGAAUUAUAGGUUAUAUGACCCAGUCUCCUGUACCCCAAAGUCACCCCAAAGUCAGGCCCAGAUGGUUUUGGAGACAAGUUUUACAAAGUCAUCAACAAACAUAGAAUCCUUAUAUUACACCUGUUUCAGAUGAUAGAAAAGAGGGACAGCUCCCCAGAUCUUUUUAUGAAGUUAGUAUAACUUCAAUACCAAAGCUGACAAGGACAAGACAAGAUAAUUAUCUAUUAACCACACUUAAGAAUGUAGAUGCAAGGUUCCUAGGUAAAAUAUUAGCAAAUUUAAUUCAGCAACGUAAUAAAGAUAAUAAGUACUUCAAAUGAGUAGGAUCCAUGGAGUACAGUUGUGCAGUGUCAUCAUUUGCCUCCUGCUCUUGUCCUUGUAAGCUGAAUUGUGGACCAAUUCUUUCUUGCCACUGAAUAAAUGAAAACUCAUUCACUUUUUUGGCCACUCCAACUAAAAAGUCCUUUGAUCAUGAGAAAUGGUCUCAGUUUAUGAAUUAAGAUAUAUAGUCCCAGGUAAUAGUCAAAACUUCCAGCAUCACAAAGUUGAAGCUUAUCUUCAUCCCCAGCCUGAGUCUGCAACAGGUGGAAAGCUUGCAAUGGGAAUAGACAGCACGGUAUGUGUGCCAUCUGUUUCCUCGACUAGAUUUUCUCCUCCUCCCCUUGCACUCAUUAGGUGGUCUCUGGCUCCUCUAGAAUUGAAGCAGGGAAAGAGAGGGGAGCAAAAGGAAAGGUCCUACUGGCCCAGCCCUGUUAUGAGCUGGUUAUCAGACCACCCGGGACUGAGAGGAGGUUUAAAGCUGACUUUUUCUAUCACGGAGGUCUUCUGUGGGCAUUUUGGGGCACCUGCUGUUUCUGGGAGUCUCUCAUCUCCAAUUUCAUUCAUAUGGGACAGUGCAUCUUUUCCACCGGGUUACUUAGCUUACCAUCAGCUCUAGUUCUUUAUAGAAGCUGGCCCUCUUACAUGGGUCUAAGAUGAUCCCACAAAGGCAAGUCUUUCCUAUGGCCCACAACUGGCUCAGGGGAAAUACCUCCACACUUUACUCAGAUAAAUUCUGGGGAUGUGGGAUCUCCCUAAUGCCUCCCUUUGCUCCGUUGUCAGAGCAGCUACCAGCCAGAUUUCUCAGAUGUUAGACACAGUCUACAGUGUCCUUCAGGCUCCGGGAGACUCUGUGGAGGAGCAAGGAGCCAAGAACUGAGAUUCCAUUUCAAAAAAGAAGAGGUGGAAGUGAGAGAGUGGCGUGGACAUAUACACACUACCAAAUGUAAAAUAGAUAGCUAGUGGGAAGCAGCCGCAUAGCACAGGGAGAUCAGCUUGGUGCUUUGUGACCACCUAGAGAGGUUGGAUAAGGAGGGUGGGAUGGAGACACAAGAGGGAGGAGAUAUGGGGAUAUAUGUAUACAUAUAGCUGUUUCACUUUGUUAUACAGUAGCAACUAACACACCAUUGUAAAGCAAUUAUACUCCAUAAAGAUGUUUUUAAAAAAAAGAAGAGUUGGGACUUGUUCUAUGAGAUAUGAAGGCUUAUUUUAAAAUAAAAGUCUUAGAAAUUCGGACAUAGUGGGAUGGUGCAAGAAUUGGAAAAUGAAUCAAUGGAACAGGAUAGGAAGCCCAGAAACACACUCACACAUAUGUGGACACAAUAUGUAAUAAAUGUAGAAUUAUAAAU